AUUGAACGCUGGCGGCAGGCCUAACACAUGCAAGUCGAACGAGUGGCGGACGGGUGAGUAAUGUCUGGGAAACUGCCUGAUGGAGGGGGAUAACUACUGGAAACGGUAGCUAAUACCGCAUACCAUCGGAUGUGCCCAUAUGGGAUUAGCUAGUUGGUGGGGUAACGGCUCACCAAGGCGACGAUCCCUAGCUGGUCUGAGAGGAUGACCAGCCACACUGGAACUGAGACACGGCCAAGACUCCUACGGGAGGCAGCAGUGGGGAAUUUUGCACAAUGGGCGAAAGCCUGAUGCAGCCAUGCCGCGUGUAUGAUGAAGGCCUUCGGGUUGUAAAGUACUUUCAGCGGGGAGGCGGUACCUGCAGAAGAAGCACCGGCUAACUCCGUGCCAGCAGCCGCGGUAAUUC
rnacentral:rRNA from 1 species